CUUUCUUUCCUUUCCAUUAGGUGUCAACUCAAACUUCCUCCUUCCCCAGUUUCAAAUAAAGAAGAAAUAAGAAAGUGUCUUUAUGAGUGGGAAGAAACACCAGUUUCCUCCCACACAGAAUCAAGAGGCUCUACGUGACCAAUGGAAGACCGUAGAAAGUGGUGCUGUGGCACUUCUGAAGACAGGUUCUAAAAAUCAACACAAGUUCAUUGAGCCUAUGAAGUGUUCCCUCCAGGUCAAGAUAACUGCCACGUCCUGGGGACCCUCAGGCAGCCCUGUGGGAGAAGCAACUUGCUUUCCACCACAUGAGAGAGCCACCUUGUGUCUUCUGGCUUCAGUCAAGCCUUCAAUGAUUCCAUCCCUCCCACCUUGAUGUGGUCCUGCUGAAGUCCCACGCAUUGCCAGGCAGAGACUAGCCAAGCCAACGGUGCCCUCUCCGAAUUCCUGAGCCACAGAAACCAUGAGACGGGCUCUUCCUCCUUGUCUCCCACAUCCCUCCAGCAGCUUCUUCCAAGAAGAUACAGAUGCAAGCAAGCCUAGUCCCCAGUAAUGGAAGCAAGUGGAGAAAGGAAGUAUUUGAGGUGUGUUGAAGCAUAGGCUCAGAAACAGAGUGCUGUCCCUCCUGCCACAUGCUACUGGCCAAAUUACGUCACAAGCACAAUUAGAGUCAAGAGCUAGAGAAACAGACUCUGCCUCUUCAUGGAGGAAUGACAACUUCUAGCCAUUUUGCAAAUACUCCAGCAAAGAUCACACCAUCAAAGAGAAGAUCACCUCCC